rnacentral:rRNA from 1 species
CCGGGAUGGACGCACCGCUGGUGUACCAGUUGUCUUGCCAAAGGCAUAGCUGGGUAGCUACGUGCGGACGGGAUAAGUGCUGAAAGCAUCUAAGCAUGAAGCCCCCCUCAAGAUGAGAUUUCCUUUUACUUCGGUAAGUAAGAUCCCUGAAAGAUGAUCAGGUAGAUAGGUUCGAGGUGGAAGCAUGGCGACAUGUGGAGCUGACGAAUACUAAUCGAUCGAGGACUUAACCCAAA